GGAAGUAAAAGUCGUAACAAGGUUUCCGUAGGUGAACCUGCGGAAGGAUCAUUAGUGAAUAUAGGACGUCCAACUUAACUUGGAGUCCGAACUCUCACUUUCUAACCCUGUGCAUUUGUUUGGGAUAGUAACUCUCGCAAGAGGGCGAACUCCUAUUCACUUAUAAACACAAAGUCUAUGAAUGUAUUAAAUUUUAUAACAAAAUAAAACUUUCAACAACGGAUCUCUUGGCUCUCGCAUCGAUGAAGAACGCAGCGAAAUGCGAUAAGUAAUGUGAAUUGCAGAAUUCAGUGAAUCAUCGAAUCUUUGAACGCACCUUGCGCUCCAUGGUAUUCCGUGGAGCAUGCCUGUUUGAGUGUCAUGAAUACUUCAACCCUCCUCUUUCUUAAUGAUUGAAGAGGUGUUUGGUUUCUGAGCGCUGCUGGCCUUUAGGGUCUAGCUCGUUCGUAAUGCAUUAGCAUCCGCAAUCGAACUUCGGAUUGACUUGGCGUAAUAGACUAUUCGCUGAGGAAUUCUAGUCUUCGGACUAGAGCCGGGUUGGGUUAAAGGAAGCUUCUAAUCAGAAUGUCUACAUUUUAAGAUUAGAUCUCAAAUCAGGUAGGACUACCCGCUGAACUUAAGCAUAUCAAUAAGCGGAGGA
rnacentral:rRNA from 7 species